CCAGGCAGGGAUUGAAUCCAAGCCACAGCUGUGACCUACACCACAGCUGCAGCAAUAUCAGAUCCUUUAAUCCACUGCACUAGGUACCCGUGCCUCCACAGUGACCUGAGCCACUGUAGUCAGAUUCUUAAACCACUGUGCCACAGCGGGAACUCCUCCAAGGUCUCUUUUAUAUGGGCGCUACUCUCAUUCAUGAGAAUUCUACCCUCUCAACCUAAGCAUCUUCCAAAAGCCACCACAUCUUAAUACAAUCACACUGAAGGUAGGAGUUCAACAUGCAAAUUUUUGGAGGACAUAUUUAAUCUACAACAAUAUGCCUUGCAAUUAUUAAGUGUCUUAAACAAGCAUGUGAUAGGUCCUGGAUGAAAUCCAUUAGCAACUAAAUCUCUGUAUGUACAGUUAUUCUGUGUUGUUUCCUUGUAAAGUGAGAAUGGGAAGUGAGAGAGGAAAACCUCCUGGAAAACCUCCUGGAGGUGAAAACUUCCUGGAGUGAAUGAAAUGGCUUCAACACAGGGCUGGGAAGUUGUCUGGUAUAAACAAAUGAUUUAGUACAUUUAUGUGUUUGGUUGAAAUACAAAGUUCUGUGCUAUAUACUGUAAAAAAAAAUACUGAGCCUAAUAUUUUAUAUGACAGAUAUUAGAAAUUGCUCCUCUAUCCUUGAAACAUCUCUAUAUAGACCCUAUAAACUGUAUAGGGUCUAUACAGUUUAUAUGAAGUUAUUUUAAGGACGUUAUUUUAAGGAAGUUAUUUUGUAGUUCUUGCCAGGUAGGCCCUGGGGGGCCUAAGCCACGAGUGAAUUUAGAAGUUCCCAGUGAGAAAAGAUAAGCUGAAAAGAAGUUCAGCUUGGACUGAAGGAAUAUAAACCAAGAAAUGCACUAGGACAAAGAAUGGGUUCUUCCUACCUACACCUCAGCCUUCCUCUCCUUUCCUGGAAGACUCAUAGUUCAUGUCAUUACGGAAAAUCAGAUUGGGAUUGUUCUCAGAAUAUUCAGGUCCGAUGGCUAUGAUGACAGUGAGGAACAGAAAUUUCUGGGUAAUGGUGCUGCAUAGAGGAAGUAGGCUAUGAAUCAGUGAUAGAGAGCAGAAGCCUCCAGCCUUGGAGGCAUGGACUUAGUGACAACUAGAUGAUGGGGAAAGUUCAUAGUUUAGCCCUACUUUAGCUCCACCUGGGGACCAGAGUGCAGUCUGAGUGCCAGUGACGCAGACCAAAGAGCAAUCAAGCACACUGGUAUGCAGGGUGGAGGAAGGGGAACAGGAAGGGGAAAGGCGUCUGACUGUGCAUCCAGGUGCCUGCCACCUGCAGGGUCAGCACGGAAGUCCCAGCCCUCUCAAUAGCAGAUGCAGAGCUUCCAACAAUUGGCCAGGCUCAAGUCUCACUGCUUCAGGGUGGAGUGGGCCUGCAGGUCACAAUUCUUAAAUAGACGCAGAGCAGGAGGUAGGGUGGAACAGACAGUGCCUGAGUCCAGUCAUUAAACCUUCUUAUUGCCGAGCUAAUUAGAGAAUUGCUCAGAUUUUAUGUGAUAUCAACUUCCUUACCAUCAUCCCUCCUGUCAUUUGGUAUUGGUGUCUUAUUUUCCUAUUAAUUCUUCUUACCUUAUGCCAGAAAUAGAAAAAUCUCAGAGAUUUUCUUUUUCAUUAUAAGAAGCUUGCCCUGAGGAGACAGCUGCCAGGGUGGGUAUGUCUUCCCCCUGUAUUGAAAUUAUUAAAUCCAAUUCCAUUUUUAAGAAACUUUUAAUAUGAAAAUAAUAUAUGAUCUAUGUCAAAUAUUCAAAGAGUAUAGGAGGGCAUAAAAUGAAGAGAAAUUCCCUGACCACACACUUCUGGCUCUAUUAUUCCAUAAUCCAGAAAUCAGACUGCUACUAAUAUUGUGUAGACAUUGUGUAUAUAUAAGCAAAUGUGUUCGUUUGUUUUAAAAAAGCAUAUAUAUGAAGGUUCCUUCUUUGGCAUAGUGGUUUAAGGAUCCAGGUUGUCUCUGUGGCAGCCUGUGUUCAAUCCUCGGCCCUGUGCAGUGAGUUAAGGAUUCAGCAUUGCUGCAGCUGUGGCAUAGGUCAUAGCUGUGGCUCAGAUCCCUGGCCCUGGAACUUUCAAAUGCCACGGAUGUGGCCAUAACAACAACAAAAAAGCACAUAUAUGCAUACAUGCAUAUGUAUGCAUAUAACUUAACACAAAGUAGAUAUACUAUACAUAGUAUUUGAUAACCAAUAUAUCUUUGUAUUACUAGAUAGCAUUAUAUUACAUGAAUGAAAUUUUCUUAAGCAAAUACAUUUAUAUGAAAAGCACAAUAGAUAGGAAGCACAUAAUAUAUACCGGAUAUAACAAUUGUGAUAAUCUUUUCCUUGCUUUGCUUUGUAAUUUUACAACUAUAUAGUAUUUGUGGAAAAAAGUAAAUUAGUCUUACUGGUCUGUGAUUUACAUAUGAGGGUAUUUAUACUAUAUUUAUUUUAUUUAUUUCACUUGAUAUAAACAUGGGAGAUUUCCAUGGUGCCACAUAUAGCUCUCAUCUUUUCAUUUUCUAUGCUAUAUAGUAUUCUAUUAUAUGAGUUGCAGCAAUUUAUUUACCCCCUACACAGUGUGGGGGCUUUCAGUUGCUGUGAACAUGACAGCACAUAGUAGUGGAAUCGCUGGAUUAUAUGCAUGCCCUCAGCUCUAGUAAAUAUCAUCAAACUCUCUCCCAAAGUGGUCAGUCCAGCUUACUGACUUUGCAAAUUCAACUUUUUAAGGAAUUUGGCUCUUUCAUGUCCUAUACGUUAUAAAUACAUUUUUCAUCUUAUAAUUUAUGUAUUAACUUUGUUAAUAAAGGGUUUGUACUGUGGGAAAUUUUUUGCUUUUUAUACAUAGUCAAACUAAUUAAUCCUUUUUUCUUUAUGGCUUCUGUGUUUUAUGACUUGCUUAGAAAAGUCUUUCCUUCCUCAAUAUUAUCAAACUAUAGUUUUUAAAUACUCUUAUAAUUAAUUUUUAAUUUUGACUCAUUUGACUUAAUUUGUUCUGGUGAAUAAUAUGAGGUGUUUUUGUUUUUUUUUUCAAAAUGGAUAAUGUGUUGUUUCAACACCAUUCUAGCAACAAUAAGCUAAAAAGAUAACUCAAUAGGUAAUUAACUACAGUAUUGUCAUACAAAACUAUGUUUUUUUCUGAGUAUGACUAAUAUAAAAUAGAUAAUGGCAAAAGGACCCUAUUCAGUAGAAAUAAGAAAAUAUAAAAUAUAGAAUAAGCUUACUGUAAAAUUCUCAGGACUUGGGACGAGAGGAAAAUGAUGGGUGAACAAAGACUUACAUGUGGUAUCUUAUUCUUGCAUAGGCAGACUCAAAAUUGUAAGAUAUAUCUUUCUAAAUUAACCUAUAAAUCCAAUAUAAACCCAAUAAAAAGACCAAACACUUAUUUGUGUCUGAUUUAGGAGAUAAUUCUGAAUUUCAUAAGAAGAAAGAUAGGUGGAACCAAUCAAGAAAAUUCUGACAAAUGACUAUUCAUAUCUUUCAUUAGAAUUUAUUAAAAGCUAGGGCAAUAACAUAAUAGGAGACUGGCCUAGGAGUAGUCAAAAGGAAUUAAAAAAAAAAAAAAAAAAAA
rnacentral:lncRNA from 1 species